rnacentral:miRNA from 1 species
AGGAGUGUUCAGAUGAACAUAAUGUGUGUGUGACUGCAGACACACAGUGUACAUACACACACACACACACCCACAUAUACACACACAUCAC